UCUUUUAAUCAAAAUAAUUGGAUCAAUUAACCAUAAAUUUAAGUACCAAAAAAAUUAAAAGUUAAUUAAAUUUUAAAGUCACCCCAACCAAAUAAUAAAGUAUAUAAAAUAUAAUAUUCUUAAUAAUGUUUACAACUAUAAUAUUAAACUCUAUAGGGUCUUCUCGUCUUAUAAAAACAUUUAAGCUUUUUAACUUAAAAAUAAAAUUCAUUAUAAAUAAAAUAAACAAAGUUACUUUCUCAUCCAACCAUUCAUACAAGUUCCUAAUUAAGAAACUAAUGAUUACGCUACCUUCGUACAGUUAAAAUACCGCAGCCAUUGAAAUAAUCAUUGGGCAGGUUAAACCUUAUAGAAUUAACAAAAGGCCAUGUUUUUGUUAAACAGGCGA
rnacentral:rRNA from 1 species